rnacentral:rRNA from 1 species
CCUACGGGAGGCAGCAGUAAGGAAUAUUGGUCAAUGGAGGCAACUCUGAACCAGCCAUGCCGCGUGCAGGAUGAAGGCCCUAUGGGUCGUAAACUGCUUUUACACAAGAGAAAACCCCGGUACGUGUACCGGGUUGAUAGUAUUGUGAGAAUAAGCAUCGGCUAACUUCGUGCCAGCAGCCGCGGUAAGACGAAGGAUGCAAGCGUUAUCCGGAUUCAUUGGGUUUAAAGGGUGCGUAGGCGGACUUGUAAGUCAGUGGUGAAAUCUCUUUGCUUAACAAAGAAACUGCCAUUGAUACUGCAGGUCUAGAGUAUAGAUGACGUUGGCGGAAUAUGACAUGUAGUGGUGAAAUACUUAGAUAUGUCAUAGAACACCGAUUGCGAAGGCAGCUAACGAAACUAUAACUGACGCUGAGGCACGAAAGUGCGGGGAUCAAACAGGAUUAGAUACCCUGGUAGUCCGCACCGUAAACGAUGAUUACUCGUUGUUGGCAAUAUGACCGUCAGCGACCAAGCGAAAGCGAUAAGUAAUCCACCUGGGGAGUACGCCGGCACGGUGAAACUUANAGAGUAGUGAGNGAGAGAGCGACGAGGACACGAGGGAGGGAG